rnacentral:tRNA from 1 species
GGUUACUUGGCCGAGCGGUCUAAGGCGACAGUUUUAGGCACUGUUCCGAAAGGGCGCGGGUUCGAAUCCCGUGGUAACCA